rnacentral:rRNA from 1 species
CGAACGGGUGAGUAACACGUGGGUGAUCUGCCCUGCACUUUGGGAUAAGCCUGGGAAACUGGGUCUAAUACCGGAUAGGACUACGGCCUGCAUGGGUUGUGGUGGAAAGCUUUUGCGGUGUGGGAUGGGCCCGCGGCCUAUCAGCUUGUUGGUGGGGUGAUGGCCUACCAAGGCGACGACGGGUAGCCGGCCUGAGAGGGUGUCCGGCCACACUGGGACUGAGAUACGGCCCAG